rnacentral:rRNA from 1 species
GAUGAACGCUGACAGAAUGCUUAACACAUGCAAGUCUACUUGAUCCUUCGGGUGAUGGUGGCGGACGGGUGAGUAACGCGUAAAGAACCUGCCUUGCAGUCUGGGACAACGUCUGGAAACGGACGCUAAUACCGGAUAUUAUGAUUGAAUCGCAUGAUUUAAUUAUGAAAGCUAUAUGCGCUGCGAGAGAGCUUUGCGUCCCAUUAGUUAGUUGGUGAGGUAACGGCUCACCAAGACGAUGAUGGGUAGCCGGCCUGAGAGGGUGAUCGGCCACAUUGGGACUGAGACACGGCCCAG